rnacentral:rRNA from 1 species
GACGAACGCUGGCGGCGUGCCUAAUACAUGCAAGUCGAGCGAAUUGAUGAAGAAGCUUGCUUCUUCUGAUGUUAGCGGCGGACGGGUGAGUAACACGUGGGCAACCUACCUUAUAGUUUGGGAUAACUCCGGGAAACCGGGGCUAAUACCGAAUAAUCUAUUUCCUCUCAUGGGGAGAUACUAAAAGACGGUUUCGGCUGUCGCUAUAAGAUGGGCCCGCGGCGCAUUAGCUAGUUGGUGAGGUAACGGCUCACCAAGGCAACGAUGCGUAGCCGACCUGAGAGGGUGAUCGGCCACACUGGGACUGAGACACGGCCCAGACUCCUACGGGAGGCAGCAGUAGGGAAUCUUCCACAAUGGGCGAAAGCCUGAUGGAGCAACGCCGCGUGAGUGAAGAAGGAUUUCGGUUCGUAAAACUCUGUUGUAAGGGAAGAACAAGUACAGUAGUAACUGGCUGUACCUUGACGGUACCUUAUUAGAAAGCCACGGCUAACUACGUGCCAGCCGCCG